rnacentral:tRNA from 1 species
AGGGCUUGUAGCUCAGUUGGUUAGAGCGCGCGCUUGAUAAGCGUGAGGUCGGAGGUUCAAGUCCUCCCAGGCCCACC